GGGCCGUUAGCUCAGUCGGUAGAGCAUUGCACUUUUAAUGCAGUGGUCAUUGGUUCGAAUCCAAUACGGCCCACCA
rnacentral:tRNA from 2 species